rnacentral:rRNA from 1 species
AAAGGAAUAGACGGGGACCCGCACAAGCAGCGGAGCAUGUGGUUUAAUUCGAAGCAACGCGAAGAACCUUACCAGGUCUUGACAUCCCGAUGACCGGUAUAGAGAUAUACCUUUUCCUUCGGGGACAUUGGAGACAGGUGGUGCAUGGUUGUCGUCAGCUCGUGUCGUGAGAUGUUGGGUUAAGUCCCGCAACGAGCGCAACCCCUAUUAUUAGUUGCCAUUAUUAAGUUAGGCACUCUAGUGAGACUGCCGGGGUAACUCGGAGGAAGGUGGGGACGACGUCAAAUCAUCAUGCCCCUUAUGAUCUGGGCUACACACGUGCUACAAUGGCCGGAAACAGAGGGCAGCGAAGCCGCAAGGCGGAGCGAAUCCCGACAAAGCCGGUCCCAGUUCGGAUUGUGGGCUGCAACCCGCCCACAUGAAGUCGGAGUUGCUAGUAAUCGCGAAUCAGCACGUCGCGGUGAAUGCGUUCCCGGGUCUUGUACACACCGCCCGU